UACGGAGGGGGCUAGCGUUGCUCGGAAUUACUGGGCGUAAAGCGCACGUAGGCGGCUUUGCAAGUUAGAGGUGAAAGCCCGGAGCUCAACUCCGGAAUUGCCUUUAAAACUGCAUCGCUAGAAUUGUGGAGAGGUGAGUGGAAUUCCGAGUGUAGAGGUGAAAUUCGUAGAUAUUCGGAAGAACACCAGUGGCGAAGGCGACUCACUGGACACAUAUUGACGCUGAGGUGCGAAAGCGUGGGGAGCAAACGGG
rnacentral:rRNA from 1 species